GGUGAGUAACGCGUGAGUAACCUGCCUUACACAAGGGGAUAGCCGUUGGAAACGACGAAUAAUACCCUAUGAAACUAUCACUUCGCAUGAAGCGAUAGUCAAAGUGUUAGCGGUGUAAGAUGGACUUGCGUCUGAUUAGCUAGUUGGUGAGAAAAAAGCCCACCAAGGCAACGAUCAGUAGCCGGCUUGAGAGAGUGUACGGCCACAUUGGGACUGAGACACGGCCCAG
rnacentral:rRNA from 1 species